AAAUUGAAGAGUUUGAUCAUGGCUCAGAUUGAACGCUGGCGGCAGGCCUAACACAUGCAAGUCGAACGGUAACAGGAAGCAGCUUGCUGCUUCGCUGACGAGUGGCGGACGGGUGAGUAAUGUCUGGGAAACUGCCUGAUGGAGGGGGAUAACUACUGGAAACGGUAGCUAAUACCGCAUAAUGUCGCAAGACCAAAGAGGGGGACCUUCGGGCCUCUUGCCAUCGGAUGUGCCCAGAUGG
rnacentral:rRNA from 1 species